rnacentral:rRNA from 1 species
UCUGACGAGUGGCGGACGGGUGAGUAAUGUCUGGGAAACUGCCUGAUGGAGGGGGAUAACUACUGGAAACGGUAGCUAAUACCGCAUAACGUCGCAAGACCAAAGAGGGGGACCUUAGGGCCUCUUGCCAUCGGAUGUGCCCAGAUGGGAUUAGCUAGUAGGUGGGGUAACGGCUCACCUAGUCUUCGAUGGAUAGGGGUUCUGAGAGGAAGGUCCCCCACAUUGGAACUGAGACACGGUCCAA